rnacentral:lncRNA from 1 species
CUCCCUUCCUAAAGUAGCUUUUUCAUCUCUUUCUUGUUCUCGCUCCCCUUUUUUUCCCUCAGAAAGAGGAAUGCCCUCCUACAUGGAUCCAGAAACAUCUGUUAGGGAGCCUCAGAGGAGUUAGAGAGAGACGACUGGCUUUAACAGACAAAUGCAGCGCAGAGUCAGCUCAGCACAGACUGCAGGGUAAAAGAGCUUCUGAGAGUUCUUCUGUUUUACAUCCCUUGCUCCCCGACCCUGUCUAAAAAUUGCUCUCUUUUUC